UCAUUACAACAGCUAUAAUUCACUUGAUCUUGACACAAUCCUACUUGGAUAACUGUGGUAAUUCUAGAGCUAAUACAUGCAUUAAAGCUCCGACCUCACGGGAAGAGUGCAUUUAUUAGAACAAAACCAAGCGGCCUCGGCUGUUUUCGGUUGACUCAUAGUAACUGAGCUGAUCGCAUGGGCUUGUCCCGGCGACGUGUCUUUCAAGUAUCUGCCGUAUCAACUUUCGAUGGUAGUGUAUCUGACUACCAUGGUGAUCACGCGUAACGGAGAAUAAGGGUUCGACCCCGGAGAGUUCGCCUGAGAAAUCGCGAACACAUCUAGGGAAGGCAGCAGGCGCGAAAAUUACCCACUCUCAGCACGAGGAGGUAGUGACGAAAAAUAACGAGACCGUUCUCUUAUGAGGCCGGUCAUCGGAAUGGGUACAAUUUAAACCCUUUAACGAGUAUCUAUGAGAGGGCAAGUCUGGUGCCAGCAGCCGCGGUAAUUCCAGCU
rnacentral:rRNA from 1 species